AGCGGCGGACGGGUGAGUAACGCGUGGGUAACCCGCCUCAUACAGGGGGAUAACAGUUAGAAAUGACUGCUAAUACCGCAUAAGACCACGGUACCGCAUGGUACAGUGGUAAAAACUCCGGUGGUAUGAGAUGGACCCGCGUCUGAUUAGGUAGUUGGUGGGGUAACGGCCUACCAAGCCGACGAUCAGUAGCCGACCUGAGAGGGUGACCGGCCACAUUGGGACUGAGACACGGCCCAG
rnacentral:rRNA from 1 species